rnacentral:misc_RNA from 1 species
GGAAGGAUCAUUACUGAGUGAGGGCCCUCUGGGUCCAACCUCCCACCCGUGUUUAACGAACCUUGUUGCUUCGGCGGGCCCGCCUCACGGCCGCCGGGGGGCAUCCGCCCCCGGGCCCGCGCCCGCCGAAGACACCUGUGAACUCUGUCUGAAGUUGCAGUCUGAGAAACUAUUUAAAUUAGUUAAAACUUUCAACAACGGAUCUCUUGGUUCCGGCAUCGAUGAAGAACGCAGCGAAAUGCGAUAAAUAAUGUGAAUUGCAGAAUUCAGUGAAUCAUCGAGUCUUUGAACGCACAUUGCGCCCUCUGGUAUUCCGGAGGGCAUGCCUGUCCGAGCGUCAUUGCUGCCCUCAAGCACGGCUUGUGUGUUGGGCCCCGUCCCCCCCCUCCCGGGGGGACGGGCCCGAAAGGCAGCGGCGGCACCGCGUCCGGUCCUCGAGCGUAUGGGGCUUUGUCACCCGCUCUUGUAGGCCCGGCCGGCGCUUGCCGACCCCCUCAAUCUAUUUUUCAGGUUGACCUCGGAUCAGGUAGGGAUACCCGCUGAACUUAAGCAUAUCAAUAAGCGGAGGAAAAGAAACCAACCGGGAUUACCCUAGUAACGGCGAGUGAAGCGGUAAGAGCUCAAAUUUGAAAGCUGGCUCCUUCGGGGUCCGCAUUGUAAUUUGCAGAGGAUGCUUCGGGAGCGGUCCCCAUCUAAGUGCCCUGGAACGGGCCGUCAUAGAGGGUGAGAAUCCCGUAUGGGAUGGGGUGCCCGCGCCCGUGUGAAGCUCCUUCGACGAGUCGAGUUGUUUGGGAAUGCAGCUCUAAUUGGGUGGUAAAUUUCAUCUAAAGCUAAAUAUUGGCCGGAGACCGAUAGCGCACAAGUAGAGUGAUCGAAAGAUGAAAAGCACUUUGAAAAGAGAGUUAAAAAGCACGUGAAAUUGUUGAAAGGGAAGCGCUUGCGAUCAGACUCGCUCGCGGGGUUCAGCCGGCCUUCGGGCCGGUGUACUUCCCCGCGGGCGGGCCAGCGUCGGUUUGGGCGGCCGGUCAAAGGCCCCUGGAAUGUAACGCCUCUCGGGGCGUCUUAUAGCCAGGGGUGCCAUGCGGCCUGCCCGGACCGAGGAACGCGCUUCGGCUCGGACGCUGGCAUAAUGGUCGUAAGCGACCCGUCUUGAAACACGGACCAAGGAGUCUAACAUCUACGCGAGUGUUCGGGUGUCAAACCCGUGCGCGCAGUGAAAGCGAACGGAGGUGGGAACCCUUUGGGUGCACCAUCGACCGAUCCUGAUGUCUUCGGAUGGAUUUGAGUAAGAGCGUAGCUGUUGGGACCCGAAAGAUGGUGAACUAUGCCUGAAUAGGGCGAAGCCAGAGGAAACUCUGGUGGAGGCUCGCAGCGGUUCUGACGUGCAAAUCGAUCGUCAAAUUUGGGUAUAGGGGCGAAAGACUAAUCGAACCAUCUAGUAGCUGGUUCCUGC